rnacentral:rRNA from 1 species
UAGAGUUUGAUCAUGGCUCAGAUUGAACGCUGGCGGAAUGCUUUACACAUGCAAGUCGAACGGCAGCACGGAGAGCUUGCUCUCUGGUGGCGAGUGGCGAACGGGUGAGUAAUAUAUCGGAACGUGUCCAAUAAUGGGGGAUAACGAGUCGAAAGAUUCGCUAAUACCGCAUACGCCCUACGGGGGAAAGCAGGGGAUCGUAAGACCUUGCGUUAAUGGAGCGGCCGAUAUCUGAUUAGCUUGUUGGUGAGGUAAAGGCUCACCAAGGCGACGAUCAGUAGCUGGUUUGAGAGAACGACCAGCCACACUGGAACUGAGACACGGUCCAGACUCCUACGGGAGGCAGCAGUGGGGAAUUUUGGACAAUGGGGGCAACCCUGAUCCAGCCAUUCCGCGUGAGUGAAGAAGGCCUUCGGGUUGUAAAGCUCUUUCGCAAGGGAAGAAAACUUAUGAUCGAAUAAAUCAUGAGGUUGACGGUACCUUGAUAAGAAGCACCGGCUAACUACGUGCCAGCCGCCGCGGUAAUAC